GUGGAUCAGUGGCGAACGGGUGAGUAACACGUGAGUAACCUGCCCUCCACUCUGGGAUAAGCGCUGGAAACGGCGUCUAAUACUGGAUACGACCAACCCUCGCAUGGGGUGUUGGUGGAAAGAUUUAUCGGUGGUGGAUGGACUCGCGGCCUAUCAGCUUGUUGGUGGGGUAAUGGCCUACCAAGGCGACGACGGGUAGCCGGCCUGAGAGGGCGACCGGCCACACUGGGACUGAGACACGGCCCAGACUCCUACGGGAGGCAGCAGUGGGGAAUAUUGCACAAUGGGCGAAAGCCUGAUGCAGCGACGCCGCGUGAGGGAUGACGGCCUUCGGGUUGUAAACCUCUUUCAGCAGGGAAGAAGCUUUUGUGACGGUACCUGCAGAAGAAGCACCGGCUAACUACGUGCCAGCAGCCGCGGUAAUACGUAGGGUGCGAGCGUUGUCCGGAAUUAUUGGGCGUAAAGAGCUUGUAGGCGGUUUGUCGCGUCUGCUGUGAAAAUUCAGGGCUUAACCCUGGACGUGCAGUGGGUACGGGCAGACUAGAGUAUGGU
rnacentral:rRNA from 1 species